rnacentral:rRNA from 1 species
AUUGAACGCUGGCGGCAGGCCUAACACAUGCAAGUCGAGCGAGCGGCGGACGGGUGAGUAAUGUAUGGGGACUGCCCGAAAGAGGGGGAUAACUACUGGAUAUGGUGGCUACUACCGCAUACUAUCGGAUCACCCAUAUGGGAUUAGCUAGUAGGUGGGGGAAAGGCUCACCUAGGCGACGAUCUCUAGCUGGUCUGAGAGGAUGAUCAGCGACACUGGAAAUGAGAAAAGGCCCAGUAGCCUACGUAGGCGGCAGUGGGGAAUAUUGCACAGUGGGCGCAAGCCUGAUGCAGCCAUGCCGGGUCUAUGAGGAGGGAAUUAGGGUUGUAAAGUACUUUCAGCGGGGAGGCGUUACACGCAGAAGAUGCACCGGGUAACGCCGGGCGAGCAGCCGCGGUAAUAC